rnacentral:rRNA from 1 species
CACGUAGGGGGCAAGCGUUGUCCGGAUUUAUUGGGCGUAAAGAGCUCGUAGGUGGUUCGGUAAGUCGGGUGUGAAACCUCCAGGCUCAACCUGGAGACGCCACCCGAUACUGCUGUGACUGGAGUCCGGUAGGGGAGCGUGGAAUUCCUGGUGUAGCGGUGAAAUGCGCAGAUAUCAGGAGGAACACCGGCGGCGAAGGCGGCACUCUGGGCCGGUACUGACGCUGAGGAGCGAAAGCGUGGGUAGCAAACAGG